CUCCAUAUCUAAAUAGUAAUCAAUUGUAUGUUAUAUUGUAUACAUAUGAUAUUAAAUGGUAUUCCAUAUUAUCAAAAAAGAUAUGUAUCCCACAUUCGACUUCAUAUCUUUUUUUAAGAACAGAAAAAUUACCAUUUUCAGAAUAUAAUAAGAUACACUAUCACAUCUUAGUAAUUUAUAUUUCUGUCUAUAGAGUCGGGCAACAUCAUAUAACUUAAAUAAUAGUUACUGUAUUGUUUUGAUAUUUUAAAAGAAUUUUCAAAAUUUAUCUCAUACAUUGUCCUUAUAUUAUAUCAUGACAGGCAAGGCAUGUUUGUAAUAAAAUGAACAAUACGACGGGUACCACAUAUGAAACAGGC
rnacentral:lncRNA from 1 species